GUCCAAGCCCAAUAGGGCUGACCCGGCCCAAGGCGGCUGUUAAGGGGAUAACCCCCUUUAUCCUUAUCAUUUUCCAAGCCAAAUGAUCCCUAACCCUUCCCUCUUCCCUUCCCCUUACCCCAUACGCUAACCUUAGCGCCGCCAGGCUUUGUGCCUUCUCUCUCAUGCCAGAAAUGGAAAAGUUGCAGAGAGUAAAAGGCUUUGCAGCCUUCGUACACCCUUUUCGCGUGAUAACAUUAAUGAUCCAACCUCGUUUUCAUCUCCUUCCUUCCAAACACGGUAUAAUCCCUUAGUUAUUUUUUUUUCCUUCUUUUUCGCUGAGUUGGAGGGUGGAAGCACAAAGAGCUUUUGAAUCCAUUCUUGACCAAAGGCUGCAUUGAAAAAAGGUAAUACCCCAACCCUUUUAUAUAUUUUUGUCAUUCUAUUUAUAAGUUGAUAAUUGAUCUGUGUUAUUAAGUGUUCUUGAUUGAUAGAUGGUCUUAUAGUAGGAUUUUUUUUACUUAAGCACUGUUUAAUAAGCUUCAGAAUGAGCCCCAUCCUAAGCAUGGUGCCUUGUUUAUCUUAUGUACUUAAUCUAGUCUUUCAUUAUCUGUUUGAGUUGGAUGUUCUAAAUGAGUGUUAAUCCUUUGCAAGAAUGUUUGAGAUUGCUGGAAACUUGAAAUGAUUUAUAUUGGAAUGACUUUGAGGCUUGAUAAAGGACAACAGUUCACUAUUAAAAUAUAUAUUAAAAUAAGAGGUGCUUAGUUUAAUUAGGGAACACAUAGGGUGUUGUUAGGCUAUUGGAAUACUAAUUUGGUUUGUAUGACUCUUUGGUAAGACUUCUUUGUGUUAGGAAGUCCAUAUGACAUGUUUAUAGGGUCAUCAUUGGAUUACUUGCAUCAUAAUGUGAUAACACCUAUCUCCAAAAGGGAUUCAUGACUUAAGUACCUUUCUAGCUGUGUCUAAGGACUUCUGUUUUGCAUUAUUGAACAUGUCCAGAAUUGUCAUUAGUUGAUUUGUGAUGUUCUUCUUUUUAAAGUAAGGCCCUUCUAUCUGUAUCCUACCAUGCUUAAGUGAGAAUCACCUUAAAGCUGUGCCUUAAGAAUCUGGGUGCAAAUGUGUUAUGCCUUCCAUGGUUGAUGCUGCAUUGCUAUACAAAUGCCAUAAUUUGACUCUCUAUGUGAUUUGUUCCUAUUCCUUAUUGGUUUGUUGAAAUCUAUAGUGUGUAGUAACUGUUUUGACUUUAGUAAAUAUGGUUAAAAAGGGGGGGGGGGGGGGGGGGGGGAUUAGGGAUACGGGCGGAUUAAGAAUGCAGUAUUUCAUUAAAUGAGAAAGCCUUAUGUUCUUUCUUAGAUUAGUCUGGCUUAUUGUUUCAUGAUAAGAGCAAGUCAACUUAAAACAAGAUUUACAGUUUAUAUAUGCUUUGUUGGAAACUAAUUUGCUUGAGAUUCUUACCUGAUUAUGACCUCUGGAUUAAGCUUGACUAAUGAAAAUAACCCCGACUUGUUGUUGACUAUGUAAGUUCUGAAUUAAGAAAUACUGAGUGGACCUAGCCUUAAUAGCUAGCUAAUCAUUAUUAAGUUAGAUGUUUGAAUACUGAUCAGGGAUAGAACCACACUGAGAAUAAGUCUAUAAAGGCACUAAACCAAGAUUGUCAGAGGGAAAAGGGGGUUAGGCUAAUGAUGAACCCUUAGUUUGGUAAAGUGGCAUUGCUCUGCAAGUCUAAUGUAUUUUCAGUGAUAAAACAUGACUAGGUAAAAAGGAAGGAGGAUAAAACUGCCUAGACUAGCUUGAACCUUGUGUAUAUUCAUUAGAAGAACUCUGUCUAGAGACUAGGUUGGCAAGGGAUUUGAAUCAAUUUUUUUGCUAAGAAAUUAGUCCCUUUAGAACUUGAGUAGGAAUCUAAAAUGCUUGCUAUGUGACCUGUUUAUGAAGAUGCCAUAUUUUUCUUUGCACCUGCAUGACAGUUCAGGGAUUUAUUUCACUUGCCAGUUGAGUCUGUCUUCCCUCUUUCCUUUUCUUCCUUUCCUGUGAAUGUUGUUGUGUCAAAAGAUUAAAGGUUUGGUCUUGCUUAAGUAAUAAAGGAUCUUUACUGAGAUGAGGGUUGGAUCAUGGCCAUUUAGUUAUUUGUUUUGCUUGAAUUCCCUUUGUGUUCUGUUUAGAGGUGCUGAAUGUUUAAAAGAAAGUGAUCAUGCCAUAUCCAAGAUCAAAAUUGCCUAUCUAGUCUGUACUGUUGAAUCAUGAGAUUUCCUACAUGAGUUCUAUUGGAACAUAACUGGCUAAAAAGAUUUAAAAAAAAAAGAAAAGGGAAAUCUGCCUACUGUCACUACUUGAAUCAUUUGUGUUUGGGCUUAAUCUCUAAUACUCUGUCCAGAUAUCCUAGUUACCAUCAUUUACUUGGUUGCCUCAUACACAUUUUCUAUGAUUUGGCUAGAUGAAGUUUGUAAUAUGGCAUAACUUGAUGAAUUCCUAGAUUGGUUUAUGAUGGUUCUGUGAAGAAGGUUAAAGAACUUGUUGAUGACACCUUGACUUAUGCUGUGGUUCUGUAUGGAUUUUCCUAGCUUCUAGUGGUGAAAAUGAUCCUAAUCCUAGCCUAAAUGAUCCUGUCCAUUCCUAUGUCCAUGCAUUUGAGCUUGUUAGGGCAUUUAGUUGUAAGUGACUCCUGGUAGCAAUACUCUUUAUGAUUAGAGAAAGGUUGAAGGUAAGCUAAAAAUCACAUGGCCAGGAAGAGUCUUUUUAAAAGGUGCCUUGAGAGGGGAUCUAGGGGGGUGAUCAAGCACUGUAUGACUCACCACACUUUCCCUUCAUAUAAAAGGCACCAUUGCACUUUCAUAAGCCCAUGGUGGUGCAUGCUAACUAUACAAAUCUUUCAAAAGAUCAUGAGAAUUUUGUUGAUAGAACCUAGAAGACUUGGCUAAAAUCAGACAUGCAUUGAUAAGUGGCUUAGUGAAACCUAGUUAUGAACCUAGGUGCACAUGUACAUGACUGAACUAGAACACCAAAGGAAAAGCUUAUAGGGAAACAAAAAAUUUGAAUAGGUAAAGCAUUGAAACUGAAACUGAGUUCUAAGAAACUGUCAAGAUCAUGUAAGUCCUUCCUCUUUCAAGAAACUCCACCAAAGAGACAUGAAUGAUUUUAUACAUCCUUUCUAUGCUAUGUGUGCAGCCUGCGUACUUUUACUUGAUGUUUUCACCCAGUUAAGUCUAUCUGGGACCUAAAAAUCCACCUACCUACUAUGUUUAUGUGUUUAGCUUGACUGAAAUUAGUUUCCUUUCUCAUGUUAUAUCUGUCAGCUCAGUCUACACCUGGCCUUUGCAAAUGUGAGUUGGAAUAUACUUUCCUUUUACUAGGGCCUAUUUGCUUCCCUUUAGAUGUGCAGUUUGUGUCUAUGAAUGAGUUCUAUAUUGGAAUCUAUCUAUGGUUGCACAUCUUCAUAAAGAGAUUGAUAAGCUUAUUUUGCAUAGACCACUCCUGGCUUAAAAUAAUGCAUAGUAUGAUGGAUAUAUUCCCGUUCCUUGUUGUAAUUAAGUAGUAGUAAUGAUGUACAGUGAAAUAUUAUCCUUUGUUUCUUAGGAGUUAUGUUUUGCAUUUUCUUCUGUGUCCUGGGUUGAAGGCUAGACUGUUCAAUGAUAUUUGGUUCUAAUUGUGCACUUGUGUUUGAUUGUGGUAAUGUUGAGGAUCAUUUGGGGUUGGUCAAACCUUCCCCCAGUGGCAACCAUGUCUGGGGUUCAAUGAAACCCCUUAAAUCUUGUGCGACAACGGGAAUAAGGAUGGUGGCAACCACCCUAAUCUCAUUCCAAAAUACUCAGCCCACACAUCAUUAAAAUGCACUAUGAGAGAAAAAUAUCAUGUUAGGGCAGUUUGGCUACUUCUAUUUUUAAUAAUAUUACUAUUCGUGUAUAUCUUCUAUAUAUAUUAUGUGAAUUUUAUAGGAUCCAGUCUGACCAAACUCUUUUUCUUUUUUCCCCCAUUUCCCUCUCUUACUCUUCGCAUGGCCACUUGGGCCGAGGACCCAACCUCCCUAUUGUGCCAGGACAAUUCUUUCAGAUUUCUAUAGAGUCUGAGGAAGGGAAGCUAAUAUGUGUAUCCAUGAAGGCCUAAUCAUGGGUGAAAAUGGUUAAGGGGCUUGGUACACCCCAAGUUAUUUCAUUAUUAUUAUAUGAUACAUUUACAUUUAUACUUAUAUUUGUAAACUCACAUUACUAUUGGAAACCAAAUGGUUGGAACUAGAAGUUUUAGGCAAACGGUACUUAAGCCGUUUAGUUGGACUUUAGGCUC